rnacentral:rRNA from 1 species
GUAGGUGGCAAGCGUUGUCCGGAUUUAUUGGGCGUAAAGCGAGCGCAGGCGGAAUGAUAAGUCUGAUGUGAAAGCCCACGGCUCAACCGUGGAACUGCAUCGGAAACUGUCAUUCUUGAGUGCAGAAGAGGAGAGUGGAACUCCAUGUGUAGCGGUGGAAUGCGUAGAUAUAUGGAAGAACACCAGUGGCGAAGGCGGCUCUCUGGUCUGCAACUGACGCUGAGGCUCGAAAGCAUGGGUAGCGAACAGGAUUAGAUACCCUGGUAGUCCAUGCCGUAAACGAUGAGCGCUAGGUGUUGGGGACUUUCCGGUCCUCAGUGCCGCAGCAAACGCAUUAAGCGCUCCGCCUGGGGGGUACGGCCGCAAGGCUA